UCUCGAUUAGUAUAGUGGUCAGUAUACGGGCUUGUCAUUCACAUCCGUGAUGCGCAAUUACGCCCGGGACCCGGGUUCAAUUCCCGGAUCGAGAG
rfam:Pseudomassariella vexata strain CBS 129021 BCR38scaffold_17, whole genome shotgun sequence.